UGUAUAAUGGGUCAGCGACUUAUAUUCUGUAGCAAGGUUAACCGAAUAGGGGAGCCGAAGGGAAACCGAGUCUUAACUGGGCGUUAAGUUGCAGGGUAUAGACCCGAAACCCGGUGAUCUAGCCAUGGGCAGGUUGAAGGUUGGGUAACACUAACUGGAGGACCGAACCGACUAAUGUUGAAAAAUUAGCGGAUGACUUGUGGCUGGGGGUGAAAGGCCAAUCAAACCGGGAGAUAGCUGGUUCUCCCCGAAAGCUAUUUAGGUAGCGCCUCGUGAAUUCAUCUCCGGGGGUAGAGCACUGUUUCGGCAAGGGGGUCAUCCCGACUUACCAACCCGAUGCAAACUGCGAAUACCGGAGAAUGUUAUCACGGGAGACACACGGCGGGUGCUAACGUCCGUCGUGAAGAGGGAAACAACCCAGACCGCCAGCUAAGGUCCCAAAGUCAUGGUUAAGUGGGAAACGAUGUGGGAAGGCCCAGACAGCCAGGAUGUUGGCUUAGAAGCAGCCAUCAUUUAAAGAAAGCGUAAUAGCUCACUGGUCGAGUCGGCCUGCGCGGAAGAUGUAACGGGGCUAAACCAUGCACCGAAGCUGCGGCAGCGACGCUUAUGCGUUGUUGGGUAGGGGAGCGUUCUGUAAGCCUGUGAAGGUGUACUGUGAGG
rnacentral:rRNA from 1 species